rnacentral:lncRNA from 1 species
AGGGGGAAAGGAAUAAUCAGGUUUCUAGAAGUUCUAGAAAGGUUUGGGUCGUCACUUUUGUAGGACAAGGGAUAAGGCCUUCUAGAAAGGUUGUUUUGUGGCUGAUUUCUAGAAAAACAAGGGAUAAGGUGCAACACCUUUGUAGGAGUGGAUAAGGGCUUCUAGAAACCUAUUUUAAUGUGUUUUAAUCUGAAACUAAAUCCCCUUUGCAACUGGAAUUAAGUUAGGAUAGGAUUAGGAUAGGAUAAGAUAAGGUUGGAUAAGAUUUUGGAUAAUGUUCCUUCUUUUGAGCUGAUUUCUUAUCUUCUUUGACUUGGAUUUAUUUCUUCACUCUUUUCAGCACAUUCCUAGCCUCUUGAACUUCAAAUUCGUCCAUCCAUCUUGUUCCAUUCAUAAGCUAUCCAUUUGGUGCCCAAAACUGCCUCAAAAUGCUCCAAAUUGCACUUUCUUGCCAACUUUGUCAUAUGGACCUACAAACACACGAAAAUAGCUUAAAACACUAUAAUAAACACAAACAAACUAUGAAAAUGCAAGAAAACAAGCUAACUAAGUCGCAUAAAUAUGCUCCUAUCAGUGGUUGGAACUAAAGGCCGCUCUUGAAGACUUCCUUCCUUCGACCCCUUAGGAUUUUGGCUUUAGGAAAUCUUUUGUGGAAAUCUUUUGUAACUUCACUUGUACGCCCUUUUUGCAAAAUGAAUGAACUUUUUAUUCUCACAUCUCCCAAGUGACUGGAUGGUAUUUCUUUAAAAAUUUCCCAUUGAUUGGUAGUUUAUGAAUUAGACCUGUUCGGUCUUUAAGGUGGUAUGCCCCCUUACCGAGAAUUUUAUGGACGAUGAACAGUCCUUCCCAGUUCGGCGACCAUUUCCCGAAUCUUGGAUCUUUGACUCCUACGGGCAACACAGCUUGCCAAACUAACUCUCCCUCGCCAAACGUUUUUUGUCUAACUCAUUGAUUAUAGGAUCGUUCGACAAUAUUUUAUGUGCCACCAAUAAAUUAUAAGCAUCAAAAUGAACUUCCUCCAAGUCUUCUAACUCUUGUCUCAUGGCCUGGUUAUAUUCAACACUGAACAAACUACUUUGCUCAAUUACUCACAACGAGUUUAUACUCAGCUUAACUGGUAACAUCAUGUCAUGCCCAUAAGUUAAUGCAUAUUGUUGGAAGUAUGCCCACAAAGCCACUCAUUUGAUGUAAUAGCUUUUUGGAAUACUUAAUGUAUUAAACUU